rnacentral:rRNA from 1 species
AAACUGCCUCCGGUGUGGAGCGCCGCAGAGGUGAGUAUGUGUGGGGACUCUCCGCUGUAGGGGGAGAUCUCCUGUGAACACUGUCUCUAACCCCGCAUUGUCUCAACAGCCCAGUGCAGGAGCUCUUCGCCCCUUGCCCUCUCAUGUGCCCCCAUGUGAUUUUAUCUUAUGUGGGGGGUAGCGUCUCACCUACGACAAUAUCUCUAUCUGCUCAGAGAAGAUGAUCCCCCACUCUGGCUCUGACACACUCCCCACUCUCCUACGAGAGGCCACUGGGGAGAAUAUUGCAAUGUGGGCGCAAGCCAGAUCCCCCCAUGCCGCGUGNAUGAAAAGGGCCUUCGUUGUGUAAAACUUUUUCCGCGGAGAAGAAGGAGAUAGGGUUAAUACUUGUCUAUUGUGACGUUACNCACAAAAAACACCCCGGCUAUCUCCGUGCCCACCCCCGCGGUAAUACAGAGGGUGCACGCGUUACUCAGAACUGGGCGUGUAGCGCGCACGCGCGGUCUGUCUUGUCUCAUAUGUGAUCCCCCCGCUCUCCUGUGAACUGUGUAUCAGACUGUGGUGCUCUAGUCUCGUGUAGGGGGGGGGUAGUUCUCCGUGUGUAGCUGAGAUGUGCGUAGAUAUGUAGAAGUACCGGUGGUGGAGAGCGGCCCCCUCUGGACAGACUGUGACUCUGUGCGANAGCGUGUGGAGCANNCACGNGAAUANNUACUGUGGUACUCACNCUAUACACGAUCGACUAUGUAGGAUGUGCG